rnacentral:rRNA from 1 species
UGGUCAAGCUAAUAAGAGCAUACGGUGGAUGCCUUGGCAUCAGUAGGCGAUGAAGGACGUGAUAAGCUGCGAUAAGUCUCGGGAAGCGGCCAAUACGCUUUGAACCGGGAAUUUCCGAAUGGGGAAACCCAAUGCGGGUCAUGCCGCAUUAUUCUAGUCUGAAUAUAUAGGGCUAGGAAGCGACACCAGGGGAAGUGAAACAUCUCAGUACCCUGAGGAAAAGAAAACAACAGUGAUUCCCUAAGUAGUGGCGAGCGAACGGGGAACAGCCUAAACCUUCCUGUUUACAGGGAGGGGUUGCGGGACCUUAAUAUGAGAUUUGCGAGGAUAGUAGAAAGUUCAGGAAAGUUCUGCCAUAGAGGGUGAUAGCCCCGUAUACGAAAUCCAAACAAACUCUAAAGGUAUCCCAAGUAGGGCGGGACACGUGAAACCCUGUCUGAAUCCGGGAGGCCCACCUCCCAAGGCUAAAUACUAACUGAUGACCGAUAGUGAACUAGUACCGUGAGGGAAAGGUGAAAAGAACCCCUGUUAGGGGAGUGAAAUAGAACCUGAAACCGUGUGCUUACAAGGUGUGGUAGUACUCCGUAGCCUCGUGCGAAGGAGUAUGGCCGCUUGCCUUUUGCAUAAUGAGUCCGCGAGUUACCCUAUAUGGCAAGGUUAAUCCCCUGAAAGGGAGGAGCCAAAGCGAAAGCGAGUGUGAAUAGCGCGCAUGCCGUCCGAAGCCUUGUGCGGAGGAGGGUUGAGUCGUAUGGGGUAGACCCGAAGCCGGGUGAGCUACCCAUGGCCAGGAUGAAGUUCUCUUAACAGAGAAUGGAGGUCCGAACCGUUGUGUGUUGAAAAACGCUCGGAUGAGCUGUGGGUUGGAGUGAAAGGCUUAUCAAACUCGGUGAUAGCUGGUUCUCCUCGAAAUAGCUUUAGGGCUAGCCUGCACGAAUGCUCGGAAUGGAGGUAGAGCACUGAUUGGAAUAGGGUCCCUACCAGGAUACCAACGCCACUCAAACUCCGAAUGCCAUUCCAGUCACGUGUGGAGUCAGACUGCGGGGGAUAAGCUCCGUAGUCGAAAGGGAAACAGCCCAGACCGCCGGUUAAGGCCCCUAAAUCUGAUUAAGUGCUUAAGGAUGUGGGAUUGCAGAAACAGCUAGGAUGUUGGCUUAGAAGCAGCCAUCAUUUAAACAGUGCGUAACAGCUGACUAGUCGAGUGAUCCUGCGCCGAAAAUGAUCGGGACUAAAUCAGAUGCCGAAACCGCGGAUUUCCUUCUUCCGGAGGAAGUGGUAGAGGAGCAUUCUAUAUGGGUCGAAGCGAGCCUGUAAAGGUCCUUGGUAUGAGCCAAGGUGUAAAUAGUGGACUGUAUAGAAGUGAUUAUGCGGACAUGAGUAACGAAAAGCCAGGUGAGAAUCCUGGCCGCCGAAAUCCCAAGGUUUCCUGGGGAAGGUUCGUCCGCCCAGGGUUAGUCGGUCCCUAAGCCGAGGCCGAAAGGCGUAGGCGAUGGGUGAACAGGUUUAAUAUUCCUGUACCACUUAACAGGAGUGAUGGAGUGACGUAGAAAGCUAGGUUAGCCAUCUGAUGGAAUAGAUGGUCGAAGGUCGUAGGGAGUUCCGAUAGGAAAAUCCGUUGGAACAAUCCUGAAAACCGUAAGGACGUGGCGUCUUCGGACAAAGCGGAUUAAUUGAUGCUAUACUGCCAAGAAAAGCUUCUAAAUGUUGAAUAUUAGGUGACCGUACCGCAAACCGACACAGGUGGGAGGGUAGAGUAUACCAAUGGCGCGCGAGAGAAACCUCGUUAAGGAACUCGGCAAUCUAGCCCCGUAACUUCGGAAUAAGGGGUCCUCUUUGAGGUGAUAUCUCUUUGGAGAUUGAGCUUUAGAGAGGCGCAGUGAAAAGGCCCAGGCGACUGUUUAUCAAAAACACAGCACUCUGCUAACUCGUAAGAGGACGUAUAGGGUGUGACACGUGACCAAUGCCGAAAGGUUAAGGCAAGGGGUUAUCUCACUUCGGUGAGAGAAGCUCUGACCCGAAGCCCCGGUGAAUGUCGGCCGUAACUAUAACGGUCCUAAGGUAGCGAAAUUCCUUGUCGGGUAAGUUCCGACCUGCACGAAUCGUGUAACGAUCUGGGCGCUGUCUCAACGAGGAUCUCGGUGAAAUUGUAGUUCCGGUGAAAAUGCCGGAUACCCGCGGAAGGACGGAAAGACCCCGUGAACCUUUACUGUAUUCUGAUAUUGGGUUUUGGUUAUACAUGUGUAGCAUAGCUGGGAGGCUUUGAACUCACUUCGUCAGGAGUGGGGGAGCCAUCAGUGAAAUACCAGUCUUGUCUAAUUGAGAUUCUAACCUUGGCCCGUGAAACCGGGUGAGGAACAGUGUCAGAUGGUCAGUUUGACUGGGGCGGUUUCCUCCAAAAAAGUAACGGAGGAGCACGAAGGUACCCUCAGCACGGUCGGCAAUCGUGCGUGGAGCGUAUAGGUAUAAGGGUGCUUAACUGCGAGACUAACACGUCGAGCAGGUGCGAAAGCAGGUCUAAGUGAUCCGGCGGUAGCUAGUGGUAGCGCCGUCGCUCAACGGACAAAAGGUACUCCGGGGAUAACAGGCUGAUCGCCGCCAAGAGUUCAUAUCGACGCGGCGGUUUGGCACCUCGAUGUCGGCUCAUCGCAUCCUGGGGCUGGAGAAGGUCCCAAGGGUUGGGCUGUUCGCCCAUUAAAGCGGUACGCGAGCUGGGUUCAGAACGUCGUGAGACAGUUCGGUCCUUAUCCUCCGUGGGCGCAGGAAAUUUGAGGAGAGCAUUCCUUAGUACGAGAGGACCAGGAAUGACGUACCUCUGGUGUUCCAGUUGUCUCGCCUCGAGGCAUCGCUGGGUAGCUAUGUACGGAAAGGAUAAGCGCUGAAAGCAUCUAAGCGCCAAGCCCCCUCCGAGAUAAGGUUUCCCUUCCCGAGCGCGUAAGCGCGUCGGGACUAAAGGCUGGUCGAAGACGACGACCUUGAUAGGCCGGAAGUGUACGUGUGGCGACACAUUUAGCUAACCGGUACUAAUCAGCCGUGAGGCUUGACCAUUUA